GGCGUGCCUAAUACAUGCAAGUAGAACGCUGAGGACUGGUGCUUGCACCGGUUCAAGGAGUUGCGAACGGGUGAGUAACGCGUAGGUAACCUACCUCAUAGCGGGGGAUAACUAUUGGAAACGAUAGCUAAUACCGCAUGACAAUGGAGGACCCAUGUCUUUCAUUUAAAAGGUGCAACUGCAUCACUAUGAGAUGGACCUGCGUUGUAUUAGCUAGUUGGUGAGGUAACGGCUCACCAAGGCGACGAUACAUAGCCGACCUGAGAGGGUGAACGGCCACACUGGGACUGAGACACGGCCCAGACUCCUACGGGAGGCAGCAGUAGGGAAUCUUCGGCAAUGGACGGAAGUCUGACCGAGCAACGCCGCGUGAGUGAAGAAGGUUUUCGGAUCGUAAAGCUCUGUUGUUAGAGAAGAAUGAUGGUGGGAGUGGAAAAUCCACCAUGUGACGGUAACUAACCAGAAAGGGACGGCUAACUACGUGCCAGCAGCCGCGGUAAUACGUAGGUCCCGAGCGUUGUCCGGAUUUAUUGGGCGUAAAGCGAGCGCAGGCGGUUCUUUAAGUCUGAAGUUAAAGGCAGUGGCUCAACCACUGUACGCUUUGGAAACUGGAGAACUUGAGUGCAGAAGGGGAGAGUGGAAUUCCAUGUGUAGCGGUGAAAUGCGUAGAUAUAUGGAGGAACACCGGUGGCGAAAGCGGCUCUCUGGUCUGUAACUGACGCUGAGGCUCGAAAGCGUGGGGAGCAAACAGGAUUAGAUACCCUGGUAGUCCACGCCGUAAACGAUGAGUGCUAGGUGUUAGGCCCUUUCCGGGGCUUAGUGCCGGAGCUAACGCAUUAAGCACUCCGCCUGGGGAGUACGACCGCAAGGUUGAAACUCAAAGGAAUUGACGG
rnacentral:rRNA from 1 species